ACAUUUUCGUUGAACAUUUCCAAUUUCCUCCCACUCUCGCUCCUCCUCCUCCUCCUCCGCUGUCUCCUCCCCUAUCUCCGGCUAUCCUCCAUCUCUUUUCCCCCGGACAAAACAUUAAGUGAAGUGACUGAAUGAAUCAAAGUAAAGGAAAGUAGUUGAGGAAAAUAAUGAGGUGCAGCGCAUCGAUGGAUCAGAGUCGGCUCUUUAAGGCUGAGGAGAACCGGGAACGAUCAGCCGCCUCAAUUCCACCGCGACGAUGAAGCUGCCAUUUUAGGAUCAAUACCGAGGAUUGUUCACUCUAUUGGAAUUUAAGGAAUUUGUCAAAAUUUUAGAUUAUGGUGUUAUAUUUUGAUGGGAAGCUUAAAUCAUAAACCAUAAGGCUUAAAUCAUUAACCAUCAAGAUUGGUUAUGGGUGAGUGAUGAAAUUCACUUUAUUUUCUCUAGGUUAGCUCAUGAUGUGAUGUUCCAAUGCUAUUCCUAAUGCAAGCUGCUGCCGAGGGGUUAAAAGUUGUUUUGAACCAUGCUUAGUUCGGCAUGUACACGAGAUGGUGGCUGGCUUUAACAUCGAUAAACUCUGCUAACAUAUUCAGGUAGUUUUAUUUUUCUCCAUUUGAGCUUCAAAGGUCUUAUCCCUUUUCAAGUGUACUAUUGAUUUUAGCGGUAGUACAAAUUGAAAGUAGUUGGCACUCCGAUUUCACCUAGGCAAUAGUAAAAUAUGUCUGCACCAAAACUCUUCGCUUUCAUUCAUUGAAAAUGGCUGGAAUUGUAUCAUAAACUUGUGUUAAAUUCUUAGAUUUCAGUACUUAGGAGCUGUGCUCUCUAACUACAUGCAAUCAUCUUCAUUUAUUUAUUAAUCAUCUAACUAUUUUUUAUGUUGUUUUGUAUUCUUCAGAAACUUUUGAUGAUUCAAGUAAGUAGUUGGUUAUUGCUUUCAAGGGUAACCGAAAAGGCGGUUGUUGAAGGGUAUACAAGUGUACCUCUUUUAUUCUAUUAUACAUCACUUCUAUUAUGCAUUUAUUGUCUUGCACUCUUUUUGUAUUUUCAUUUGGAACUGCUUAGUUACAUUUCUUAGUUUCAUUUCGGAGAACCUGAUUGUUAUUUGUAGCAUAUUUGUUCGUUUGAGAGUAGUGAAACUGCUUAGUUACGUUUCAACAUUUAUGUGGAUGGUUGAGUUUGGGUUGAGCUUUAUGUAAUUUGAUGCCCUAUGUUUAUCCUUGAACUGAUCAUGGAUAGAAUGCCAAUGCAAUCCAUUUAGCAAGGAAUGUGAUAAUAUAUAUUACGUUGUUAUAAAUUUUGUGAUUAUUUCUUGAUUCCUAUUCGUAAAUAGGCUACGGGGAAAAGAGAGGUAACCGAACCCUUUCAUUUUACUAUGCUGAUAAAUUAAAACAACUAAAACAGUUUAGGAUCUAAUGUAAUCCUCUGCACCAUUUAUUGUUUCCUAAGAACUCUGCUUGGUUUAAAUAUUACUGCUUAAUCGUUUAUCAUGGUAUAGAUGUGCAGGGUUUGGCAACUUUGAGUUUUAUGCAGGUUAAGAUGCAUUGAAGUUGAUAUUUCAUCACAAGGUUUAUUUUGGUGAUUACAGGUAUUUUGGUACAUACAUAAAUGGUGAAGAUCCUAGUGACCAAGACUUUUGGGUGACAGCACAUCUUGGCUGUUAUUUCUAAGAUAGGCUUUAUUUGGGAUAUUGUAUUAUUAAAAAAAAUAAAAGAAUUCAUGUUGUAGAGAGCGUGAAAUAAUGAUGUUGUUUUGAAAAAAUAUACUCUGAAUGUAAUUUGUUAUCUUGAACUGUUACUGUUAAUGAUAAAUAGGUUUCUUUGCUGUUGA